rnacentral:lncRNA from 1 species
AUAUUGGUCAGUUUUACUUACUUAGGUACAUGAAUGCAUUCUGAGUUUAUGAAAUGCUCUGCUGAGAAAUCCCAUCAUACUUAGCAGUCGAAGGAUCAAAGGCAAAAGGAACCAAGCCCAUGUAGUAUUGUGCUGUGUCUCUUAUAGCUCUCCAUGAUUUACUAACCUGAAGUAGAUCAAAACAGAAAAGAAUAUUAUGAGCUUUGAUACUGAAUAAAUACAGUUUGUGACUACUGAGCAACCUUGCCUGCACUGAUAAACCAGAUUUCCCCCUUUGACCCAAGGGGUUACUGUUCAGUGUUAAUCCCAAAUCUGUUUUGUUUUGGUUUUGUUUUGUUUUGUUUUGUUUUCAAUAGGUGCUGCAAGAUGAUGGAAGUAAAUACCCGUUCAGCCACAGUGUGUCCCCAUGCAUUCUGGCUGCUGCUUGGGUCCCAGUAGUUCUGAGAAAAUAGUAUCUGUCGUUUAAGUCGUAUAAAUUGAUUUGCUGAUUCUUCUGUCAGAAAAGGUGCUCCAAGGACACCUGGAAAGGAAGCUGAGAAAUAUUUGUAAUAUCAGAAAAAUAUUUUAGAAUGUUCACUUCAAAAAACAUACUUAUACCCAAAGAGCAGGACCUGUAGUUUAACAGAUAACAAAGAUGUUCCUACAUUAGAUCUUCAGAAUACUUCUUUUUUUUAAGCCUGAAGUUAAUAAACCAGCUGCUAUAAAUCAUUAUUUUGCUGUUGAAUCCAGAGUAAAUAACGUUACAAUCAAAUUAAGACACUAAGUUAUUUUUAAUACAAGAUGUCGUGACUGAAAAGAAACUUGGACUGGAUUUCACUAGUCUCCAGUGUGCUGAGAAGCCUGAAGUCGGUUGGUUUUUCUUUUAAACCCAAAACCUAUCCAUAAAUUUAACUAUGCUUUCUAAAGCUCCUAGUUUAGAUGUAGUAAUUAUUCUCAUUAGUAGCAGAAGAGAAAUUGCAUGUGUAGAAGUUAGUCUAAAGAGUAAAAGAUAUUGCAUUUCUAAUCUUGUUAUUGUACUGCUUUAGACAGCUUUCGAGUUCACCCCAGAUGCUGAAGUACUUCUUGUAGAUCUUGAAAUAAUCAUCCUGCUCAAGGAAAAUGGCUCAAUUCCUCACUAACUUUGUAUGAAAGGCCCUGCUACAGGAUAAGUCUUUUCUUUUAAUGAACCACUGAUUAAGUUGAAACUUGGAUACAUAAGUCAAGCUGAGGCCAAUGUCUGUAAACAGCUGUGCUCCAAUUUAAUGAAGUGGUUUAAACGCACACCUGAGUGUGACCUGCACAUACUUGGUACAGUUGGGCCAAGAACUUGAACCCUUGUCUAUUGUGUUCUACAAUGGGAGCUCCGCAGGGCAAGCUAUUUUCUCACUGCCAGCUCUCCAAUGCCCUUAUUCCUGAAUCUGCAGGGGGAAAAUCCUAACUCAGAAUGUUGAAUGUUUGCUUUUAUGUACAAUGCUUAGCUGAAUCCAAUUCACUCACUAUUAUUGCUAGCUUUCCUGAUCAUCAGCAAUAUGGUUGCUCUUUAUUUUUUUAAAUAGACGAAAAUGUACACUGAAUGCAUGUAAGUAGCAGAUACGUGAGUUAGAGUAUUUGCUGAUCCUUUUCACUUUGUUUCUUUUCAAAGCCAAAAAAUGCUUGAAAAGAAAGUGAGAAAAUGCUUGAUUAUACAGUAAUGAGCAACAACAAAAAAAAAAAAAAA